rnacentral:rRNA from 1 species
AAAGAUGAAUCAAAGAAGGUAAUAAUCCUGUAGUCGAAAAUGUUGUCUCUCUUGAGUGGAUCCUGAGUACGACGGAGCACGUGAAAUUCCGUCGGAAUCUGGGAGGACCAUCUCCUAAGGCUAAAUACUCUCUAGUGACCGAUAGUGAACCAGUACCGUGAGGGAAAGGUGAAAAGCACCCCGGAAGGGGAGUGAAAUAGAACCUGAAACCGUGUGCUUACAAGUAGUCAGAGCCCGUUAAUGGGUGAUGGCGUGCCUUUUGUAGAAUGAACCGGCGAGUUACGAUUUGAUGCAAGGUUAAGCAGUAAAUGUGGAGCCGUAGCGAAAGCGAGUCUGAAUAGGGCGUUUAGUAUUUGGUCGUAGACCCGAAACCAGGUGAUCUACCCUUGGUCAGGUUGAAGUUCAGGUAACACUGAAUGGAGGACCGAACCGACUUACGUUGAAAAGUGAGCGGAUGAACUGAGGGUAGCGGAGAAAUUCCAAUCGAACCUGGAGAUAGCUGGUUCUCUCCGAAAUAGCUUUAGGGCUAGCCUCAAGUGAUGAUUAUUGGAGGUAGAGCACUGUUUGGACGAGGGGCCCCUCUCGGGUUACCGAAUUCAGACAAACUCCGAAUGCCAAUUAAUUUAACUUGGGAGUCAGAACAUGGGUGAUAAGGUCCGUGUUCGAAAGGGAAACAGCCCAGACCACCAGCUAAGGUCCCAAAAUAUAUGUUAAGUGGAAAAGGAUGUGGCGUUGCCCAGACAACUAGGAUGUUGGCUUAGAAGCAGCCAUCAUUUAAAGAGUGCGUAAUAGCUCACUAGUCGAGUGACACUGCGCCGAAAAUGUACCGGGGCUAAACAUAUUACCGAAGCUGUGGAUUGUCCUUUGGACAAUGGUAGGAGAGCGUUCUAAGGGCGUUGAAGCAUGAUCGUAAGGACAUGUGGAGCGCUUAGAAGUGAGAAUGCCGGUGUGAGUAGCGAAAGACGGGUGAGAAUCCCGUCCACCGAUUGACUAAGGUUUCCAGAGGAAGGCUCGUCCGCUCUGGGUUAGUCGGGUCCUAAGCUGAGGCCGACAGGCGUAGGCGAUGGAUAACAGGUUGAUAUUCCUGUACCACCUAUAAUCGUUUUAAUCGAUGGGGGGGACGCAGUAGGAUAGGCGAAGCGUGCGAUUGGAUUGCACGUCUAAGCAGUAAGGCUGAGUAUUAGGCAAAUCCGGUACUCGUUAAGGCUGAGCUGUGAUGGGGAGAAGACAUUGUGUCUUCGAGUCGUUGAUUUCACACUGCCGAGAAAAGCCUCUAGAUAGAAAAUAGGUGCCCGUACCGCAAACCGACACAGGUAGUCAAGAUGAGAAUUCUAAGGUGAGCGAGCGAACUCUCGUUAAGGAACUCGGCAAAAUGACCCCGUAACUUCGGGAGAAGGGGUGCUCUUUAGGGUUAACGCCCAGAAGAGCCGCAGUGAAUAGGCCCAAGCGACUGUUUAUCAAAAACACAGGUCUCUGCUAAACCGUAAGGUGAUGUAUAGGGGCUGACGCCUGCCCGGUGCUGGAAGGUUAAGAGGAGUGGUUAGCUUCUGCGAAGCUACGAAUCGAAGCCCCAGUAAACGGCGGCCGUAACUAUAACGGUCCUAAGGUAGCGAAAUUCCUUGUCGGGUAAGUUCCGACCCGCACGAAAGGCGUAACGAUUUGGGCACUGUCUCAACGAGAGACUCGGUGAAAUCAUAGUACCUGUGAAGAUGCAGGUUACCCGCGACAGGACGGAAAGACCCCGUGGAGCUUUACUGUAGCCUGAUAUUGAAAUUCGGCACAGCUUGUACAGGAUAGGUAGGAGCCUUUGAAACGUGAGCGCUAGCUUACGUGGAGGCGCUGGUGGGAUACUACCCUAGCUGUGUUGGCUUUCUAACCCGCACCACUUAUCGUGGUGGGAGACAGUGUCAGGCGGGCAGUUUGACUGGGGCGGUCGCCUCCUAAAAGGUAACGGAGGCGCUCAAAGGUUCCCUCAGAAUGGUUGGAAAUCAUUCAUAGAGUGUAAAGGCAUAAGGGAGCUUGACUGCGAGACCUACAAGUCGAGCAGGGUCGAAAGACGGACUUAGUGAUCCGGUGGUUCCGCAUGGAAGGGCCAUCGCUCAACGGAUAAAAGCUACCCCGGGGAUAACAGGCUUAUCUCCCCCAAGAGUUCACAUCGACGGGGAGGUUUGGCACCUCGAUGUCGGCUCAUCGCAUCCUGGGGCUGUAGUCGGUCCCAAGGGUUGGGCUGUUCGCCCAUUAAAGCGGUACGCGAGCUGGGUUCAGAACGUCGUGAGACAGUUCGGUCCCUAUCCGUCGUGGGCGUAGGAAAUUUGAGAGGAGCU